rnacentral:rRNA from 1 species
GAACGGCACCACGAAGGUUACACUGUCUCCUUUUCCCAAUCAGUGAAACUGAUCUCCCCGUGAAGAAGCGGGGAUAAAUAUAUAAGACGAGAAGACCCUAUGGAGCUUUAAACGAAGCGACAACCGCCGCCCCCUUCAAAUUUCAGAAAACUUAUUGUUAAACCCGGCGACAUGGUUGCUAGUUUUGGUUGGGGUGACCACGGAGAAUAAAACAACCUCCGUGUUGAAAGGGGCCUCCCCUAAGCAAAAAUCCACAACUUUAUGCAUCAAUAAAUUGACAUCAAUUGACCCAAUAUUUUGACCAACGAACCAAGUUACCCUAGGGAUAACAGCGCAAUCCAUUUUGAAAGCCCCUAUCGACAAAUGG